ensembl:lncRNA
AGGCAGGGAGAACGUAUUGCUGAAAUAAUGUUAUGAAGCCUAACAUCCCCACAUCCUGGAGAGCUGAGAUCACACAUCAAAUCAAGUUUUAUUAGUCACAUGUGCUGAAUACAACAGAUGUAGUAGACCUUACAGUGAAAUGCUGAAUACAACAGGUGUAGGUACAACUUACAGGUAGAUGGGGAGACAAGGAGAGGGUAGAUGGGGAGACAAGGAGAGGGUAGAUGGGGAGACAAGGGGAGGGUAGAUGGGGAGACAAGGAGAGGGUAGAUGGGGAGACAAGGAGAGGGUAGAUGGGGAGACAAGGGGAGGUAGAUGGGGAGACAAGGAGAGGGUAGAUGGGGAGACAAGGAGA